rnacentral:rRNA from 1 species
UACGAAGGGGGCUAGCGUUGCUCGGAAUUACUGGGCGUAAAGCGUGUGUAGGCGGCUUUGCAAGUCGGACGUGAAAUCCCUCAGCUCAACUGAGGACGUGCAUCCGAAACUGCAAGGCUUGAGUACUGAAGAGGAUCGCGGAAUUCCCGGUGUAGAGGUGAAAUUCGUAGAUAUCGGGAGGAACACCAGUGGCGAAGGCGGCGAUCUGGGCAGAUACUGACGCUGAGGUGCGAAAGCGUGGGGAGCAAACAGG